rnacentral:rRNA from 1 species
AGACCCUUAGGAAACUAGGGGUGCUUCCAUCUGGAAGAAUCUGGAGACAGGUGCUGCAUGGCUGUCGUCAGCUCGUGUCGUGAGAUGUUGGGUUAAGUCCCGCAACGAGCGCAACCCUUGCCUUUAGUUGCCAGCAGUUCGGCUGGGCACUCUAAAGGGACUGCCGGUGUUAAACCGGAGGAAGGUGGGGAUGACGUCAAGUCCUCAUGGCCUUUAUGACCAGGGCUACACACGUACUACAAUGGCCGAUACAAAGGGCAGCGACACUGCGAGGUGAAGCCAAUCCCGUAAAAUCGGUCUCAGUCCGGAUUGGAGUCUGCAACUCGACUCCAUGAAGUUGGAAUCGCCAGUAAUCGUGGAUCAGCAUGCCACGGUGAAUACGUUCCCGGGCCUU